UGUUAUAUAACACUGAAAUUGAGUUAACUCCUUUUGGUGUGCCAUUUAUAUUGUUGAUAUGUGACACAGAACAGAACAAUAUUGAUAAACCAGAGAAAUCUUUUUUCACACUUGCUCUUAUGAAUAUAUGUUACUUUAGAUAUGUUUGUGAUGGAAAAGACAUUCAAAUGAUAGGUAAAAUUUUAGACAGAAAAGCAAGUGCAGAUUUGAAAUUAUGAAAGGAGUUUUGCUUUUAAGGUGGAGUUUUUAUUAUAUUAUAAAUACUGUGAAGGAAUUAUAGCAUUCUGACAUUAAUUUUAUAAAAUGGCAUACAGGAACCAAGAUUAUAAAACUAAGAUUGGAGACUAGUCUGGGAAUGCUGCUUUUUCAUUGGUCAGUAUCAAAAUGUGAUCAGAAAUAGCCAAUCAGAUACGCAAGUUUAUAGACUGGUCACCAAACUCAGGUUUGUAACAUUUGAUCCUGCACUCAGAUUCUCUUGGUUAAUCAUAACAGUGUUGUUUCAUGUGUGAGUGGCAUGAGUUUUGGGCAUGGCUUGAUUUUGUUCAUAAUCAGUGGCAUUGAAAGUACUUUUAAUACAUAAGGUGUUUGCUAAAUUUAGACGUCAGGUUUGUGUGUGUGUGUGUUAUAAACAUGUUUUAAAAUGUUUGCAUGAGGUAAAUGGAUGGUUAAGGGCAAAGACACAGUAAUUGAGUACAUGCUUCAUUAGGGGUUGAUCAAAUAUUCCAGCUGUUUGAUUGCAUGUACAAUAUACGUUUGUUUGUUUAUGAGAUGCAAGUGUUGCAUGAUAGCUGUUGAAAUAUUAAAUGUUGUUAAUUGGUGUAAAAUGAUUGUGAAACACUGUAUUAUACAUACAUCAAAACUACUUCUUAGACUAUUAUCUUUACUUGGUGUAAUUUGUUUGACAAAUAUUAUCAAAAAGACAGUUUUGAAGAAAAGAAACUCACAAGUUUUGGUACAUUUAAUACAAGUGAAAUUUGUUUUUUUUACUAUACACUGAUACAUUGUAUCAGUACACUGAUACAAUUUGUAUCAGUAUGUAGUAAAACAAUUUUUUUCAAAAAUAUUUUUUUCUUUUAGGAUUAAAAAAAGUAGUUUUUAACUUUUUUUAUUGGGGGACCCUUAUAUGGGCACCAAGACUGGAUGAGCACCUGUGCGAAAGGUUAGAGUUGCAUGUAACAUUGCCCUUAAAAUGUCCUUUUUCCAUCAGUAAUACUAGACUGAUUGUUGCAGCAGCAAUUUACAUAAUAUAUAUGGUUUAGUGAAUUAUUUAAAAAGUCAGAACAGAAGUCUUAAGUUUUUAUAAAUAAACAGGCUGUGUUAUAUAAAGAACCUCCCUGCAAUAAACAGUAAACAUCUUGUAAUGGCUUUGAAGAAACAAUUGAUAACAACAGAGAAAAAAUAUUAUGUAAACAGUUCUAAUUCUCAUUACAUCAUUUUGCCAAAUAGCUAACCAGCUUGGAACCAUUUUAUUGCACUACAGUACUAAAUUCAUAGGCAAAAAUGCUUAUAAACAUUUCAUUGCUUUAUCAUGUUACAUUAAACAUUAUAAAUUAUGCUUUUAAUGAUUCAGUUACACUGCAGUAUUAAAUUCAUGGGCAAAAAUGCUUAUAAACAUUUCAUUGCUUUAUCAUGUUACAUUAAACAUUAUAAAUUAUGCUUUUAAUGAUUCAAUUACACUGCAGUAUUAAAUUCAUGGGCAAAAAUGCUUAUAAACAUUUCAUUGCUCUACAAAAUUAUACAUUCAUAAGCUUUGAUGCUUGCAAACAUUUCAUUGCUUUAUAAUGUUACAUUAAACAUCAUAUGCUUUUAACGAUUCAGUUGCACUGCAGUAGUAAAUUCAUAGGUAAAAAUGGUUAUAAACAUUUCAUUGCAAUAAAAUACUUAAAUCAUUGAUGAUAUGCUUGCAAAUAUUUCAUUACUUAACAAAAUUACAGGUAACAGGUUGAUAUAUGAUUCUGUUAAGCACUUCAUUGCUCUACAAAAUUACAUACUAUUUAGGUAAAUGUUUUUGCUUAGAAAUGUUCUGUUGCGCUGCAAUAUUUAAUUUAUAGGUAUAAUGCUUAUUAACAUUAAUUGCUGUACAAUAUAGUAAAUCUAUUUGUUCAAAUGCCUAUAAAUAUUUCAUUGCUCUGCAAUAUUGCAGUGUUUGGGUUCAAGCUGAAAACCAUUUCAUUGCUCUACAUUAUUACAUUCAUAGGUUACGUAAUGCUUGUAUAUUUAUUUAUUUUGUUAGGUUUAACGUCGCAUCGACACAGUUACAGGUCAUAUGGCGACUUUCCAGCUUUGAUGGUGGAGGAAGACCCCAGGUGCCCCUCCGUGCAUUAUUUCCCCACGAGCGGACACCUGGGUAGACCACCGACCUUCCAUAAGCCAGCUGGAUGGCUUCCUCACAUGAAGAAUUCAACGCCCCAAGUGAGGCUCAAACCCAAAUCGAUGAGGGUCAAGUGAUUUGAAGUCAGUGACCUGAACCACUCAGCCACGGAGGCCCCAAUGCUUGUAUAUACUUCAUUGCACUACAGUUAUGCUGCCACUUGCUUACUUAAUAGGGAGAGCAAAAACAUACAGAUUGUAAAUUUGUAGAUUGGCUCCUUGUCCAAGGCUUACAUUCCAGGUGACAGUUUGAUAGAAGACAUUAUGUCUAAGGUCAUCUGCCCUUGAUCUCUGAUUCAUGUAGAUUAAGAGAAGCUAGCAGUUACUUGCAGAGAACAGGUUAUCACUAGUACAGAUUCCAGGAACACUGGUUAGGUAAACUGCUCACCAUUACAGAACUGAAAUACUGUUGAAAAACUGUGCUUUACCCAAAAAGCAAAUCCCGAUUCCCUGGAUUAACUUUGAAACCAUAUCACUAUGUUAUAAAAUGUAAUGUAUCAGGAUUAAAGGUUACAAGCUGCUGAUUUUAGAAGAAAGUGUUUAAAAAUGCCUUAUUAUGAUAAAAGCUCUUUAAAAAGAAUUUUUCAUUAUAAUUUGAUUAUAUAUUCAAGGAGCCUUUGUAACUAACCUAGCUUACUGUAUGCAUGUUUUGCUGUAGUUGUCAUGGUAAUGUGAUUGCAUGCAGUAAUAUAUGGAAGGGUUUUGCUAGUGUACCACUAUAUCUUGUAUGGUCAUAUCUAAAAUAUAUUGUCAUUGUGCAUGCAUGUUUUCUAUUCUCAUCACCAGUUGUCAAACUGUGUGUGCAUUUAAAGAUUUCUUAUCUAGAGGAGGUAAUAGAUGAAAUUCCUGUCCUGAAGUUUAUGGAAACUUUUAUUCACGACAAUUCAAGCCCAUGGCAGAUGUUAUGAAAAAAUGUUCUUGUAACUUGAAAAAAAGUUGCAAAGAAUUUUUUGGCAGAACUUCGGCUAAUAUUGUUGUGAGCAGUCUGAGAGUUUUUAGUCAGUCUUAAGUUAAUAACUUAGUUAGGAUAGAGAUAUUUAGAUGAAACUUGUGUGUUUUGGUUUUGUAUACAGUAAACAAAAACUUUGAAAUCACUUGCUUUUAGUUUCUCCACAACUGAUCUAAAUACCAUGUAACAAAGUGAAUCAAUAAGAUAUAAGUUCAGAUAUAAAUUCUGUAAUUGAACAUGUUUGGAUACUUUGUGGCCACAUCUAUCAGUCUGAAUAUCAUGCCCAAAUUUGUCACGCAAAGAUACCUAGACAAAGACAGUGAAAAAUGAAAAUAUCCACAACUACUAGAACAAUUUUAUCAAUAGUAACAUGUGCUCUACAAUAAAUGUAAAUGGACAACAACAUUUUUGCAGUGCUAUUUAUACAGAAAACAGCAUAUGGACAGUAGCAAUGUUACUGUAGUGCACUAUACCUGGACAGUAAUAAUGUUAUAAUGCCAGAGAGACUCCUAGGAGACAGCACUGUCUGAGCAACCACUUUUAAGAAAAACCUGGUGCUCACAGGAAAAACUCAGCUUUGAAAUGUAUUUCAACAAAUUCAUCAGAUCAUUGAAUAUUCCACCAAAGCAAUACCAACAACCUAGUGAAGUGACAGCUAGAUUACUUACCUUAGCAAAAAGAAUAUAGUAUUACAUAUUUAAUCAUUUUUUUAUUCUUUGCUUGUCUAAAAAAAGGUCAUAAUUGGAAAGCAACUGAAUAUGUACGAGGACACAAUUAAUCUCAGACAGACCGCCACAAUAAAUUUUCUGCAUAAAUUUAUCCUUCAAAAUUUGCAGCUGCAAAACAAAGUUCUUUUUCAAAGUGUCUUGAAAUAUUCAUCUGACAGAUGGUUGCCAUUAUUCUGCAUGGGAAGGAUACAGGACUGGCAGUAUUGAUGUCUAUGAACAAAGUGUCUCCCUAAGACAUUGAACAGACCUUUUGGGCGGCAAACUGGAUUAUAAUUAUGCUGCUUUGUACCAGACUUGUUUCCAACCUCAUUGUCACCCUAAAUUAUCCAAGGCAAGAUAUUGCACCGAAUGAUUACACAAUGUGGAAAUGUUGAUGCAACUUAAUAAUUAAAUGCCUUUUGAUAUGAAAUAAUACAAAUUUUGUGUCUAUUACACCUGAGUGAUGUAUUCAGUUGAAAGGAAUCCAAAUGAUGUGACAAAUAAGCUAUGGUAACCAAAGAAUUUGAAAUUUAAAAGUUUGGCUAAAAAUAGCUUUAGGGAAACUUAAAAAAAUAAUUUCUGUGUAAAUAAACUCCUAUUUUAUUUCAGUGGAGAAAUAAUUUGUA